rnacentral:rRNA from 1 species
UGAGGAAUAUUGGUCAAUGGGCGAGAGCCUGAACCAGCCAAGUAGCGUGCAGGAUGACGGCCCUAUGGGUUGUAAACUGCUUUUAUGUGGGGAUAAAGUGCGUGACGUGUCAUGCAUUGCAGGUACCACAUGAAUAAGGACCGGCUAAUUCCGUGCCAGCAGCCGCGGUAAUACGGAAGGUCCGGGCGUUAUCCGGAUUUAUUGGGUUUAAAGGGAGCGUAGGCUGUCUAUUAAGCGUGUUGUGAAAUAUACCGGCUCAACCGGUGGCUGGCAGCGCGAACUGGUCGACUUGAGUAUGCAGGAAGUAGGCGGAAUUCAUGGUGUAGCGGUGAAAUGCUUAGAUAUCAUGACGAACUCCGAUUGCGCAGGCAGCUUACUGUAGCAUAACUGACGCUGAUGCUCGAAAGUGCGGGUAUCAAACAGG